AGGCUUAACACAUGCAAGGCGAGCUGCAGCAUGGUCUUAGCUUGCUAAGGCCGAUGGCGACCGGCGCACGGGUGAGUAACACGUAUCCAACCUGCCGUCUACUCUUGGACAGCCUUCUGAAAGGAAGAUUAAUACAAGAUGGCAUCAUGAGUCCGCAUGUUCACAUGAUUAAAGGUAUUCCGGUAGACGAUGGGGAUGCGUUCCAUUAGAUAGUAGGCGGGGUAACGGCCCACCUAGUCUUCGAUGGAUAGGGGUUCUGAGAGGAAGGUCCCCCACAUUGGAACUGAGACACGGUCCAAACUCCUACGGGAGGCAGCAGUGAGGAAUAUUGGUCAAUGGGCGCAGGCCUGAACCAGCCAAGUAGCGUGAAGGAUGACUGCCCUAUGGGUUGUAAACUUCUUUUAUAAAGGAAUAAAGUCGGGUAUGUAUACCCGUUUGCAUGUACUUUAUGAAUAAGGAUCGGCUAACUCCGUGCCAGCAGCCGCGGUAAUACGGAGGAUCCGAGCGUUAUCCGGAUUUAUUGGGUUUAAAGGGAGCGUAGAUGGAUGUUUAAGUCAGUUGUGAAAGUUUGCGGCUCAACCGUAAAAUUGCAGUUGAUACUGGAUAUCUUGAGUGCAGUUGAGGCAGGCGGAAUUCGUGGUGUAGCGGUGAAAUGCUUAGAUAUCACGAAGAACUCCGAUUGCGAAGGCAGCCUGCUAAGCUGCAACUGACAUUGAGGCUCGAAAGUGUGGGUAUCAAACAGGAUUAGAUACCCUGGUAGUCCACACGGUAAACGAUGAAUACUCGCUGUUUGCGAUAUACAGCAAGCGGCCAAGCGAAAGCGUUAAGUAUUCCACCUGGGGAGUACGCCGGCAACGGUGAAACUCAAAGGAAUUGACGGGGGCCCGCACAAGCGGAGGAACAUGUGGUUUAAUUCGAUGAUACGCGAGGAACCUUACCCGGGCUUAAAUUGCAGAUGAAUUACGGUGAAAGCCGUAAGCCGCAAGGCAUCUGUGAAGGUGCUGCAUGGUUGUCGUCAGCUCGUGCCGUGAGGUGUCGGCUUAAGUGCCAUAACGAGCGCAACCCUUGUUGUCAGUUACUAACAGGUUCCGCUGAGGACUCUGACAAGACUGCCAUCGUAAGAUGUGAGGAAGGUGGGGAUGACGUCAAAUCAGCACGGCCCUUACGUCCGGGGCUACACACGUGUUACAAUGGGGGGUACAGAGGGCCGCUACCACGCGAGUGGAUGCCAAUCCCAAAAACCUCUCUCAGUUCGGACUGGAGUCUGCAACCCGACUCCACGAAGCUGGAUUCGCUAGUAAUCGCGCAUCAGCCACGGCGCGGUGAAUACGUUCCCGGGCCUUGCACAC
rnacentral:rRNA from 1 species